rfam:Picea glauca, whole genome shotgun sequence.
UCUUGUGUACAUGCCUACAAAAUAUCAUUAAUCCAUUGGAUCCUAAUAGAACUCCAUAGAUAAGCAUACUUGGGAUAGAGUAGUACUGGGAUGGGUAAUUUCCCAGGAAGUCCUAGUGUUUUACAUGCC